GCUCCGGUGGUCUAGUGGUUGGAGCGUUUGCCUCGGAUGCGGGAGGUCGCUGGUUCGAACCCCGGCUGAGUCA